rnacentral:rRNA from 1 species
CAGCCGUAAACUAUGCUCGCUAGGUGUCAGGGACGGUGCGACCGUUUCUGGUGCCGCAGGGAAGCCGUGAAGCGAGCCACCUGGGAAGUACGGUCGCAAGGCUGAAACUUAAAGGAAUUGGCGGGGGAGCACUACAACGGGUGGAGCCUGCGGUUUAAUUGGACUCAACGCCGGAAAACUCACCGGGGGCGACAGCAAUAUGUAGGCCAGGCUGAAGACCUUGCCUGAAUCGCUGAGAGGAGGUGCAUGGCGUAGACGUCU